rnacentral:rRNA from 1 species
CAGUCGCCACGGGAACACGAAGGGGGCUAGCGUUGCUCGGAAUGACUGGGCGUAAAGGGCGCGUAGGCGGCGAUCAAAGUCAGGCGUGAAAUUCCUGGGCUCAACCUGGGGGCUGCGUUUGAUACUUGAUUGCUAGAGUGGGGAAGAGGGUCGUGGAAUUCCCAGUGUAGAGGUGAAAUUCGUAGAUAUUGGGAAGAACACCGGUGGCGAAGGCGGCGACCUGGUCCUUGACUGACGCUGAGGCGCGAAAGCGUGGGGAGCAAACAGGAUUAGAUACCCCUGUAGUCCCUGUCUCUUAUAC